GAUGUAGAUUUCAAGAGAGAAGAGUGAGGAGGGUGUGCUCCACCAUUGCAGGCCUUAUGACUAAGCCUGAGCUUCAUCCACCUUGGAUUCACGCUUUCUCUUUCAACGAUCAAGACUCAUCAAAAACACUUGCAAAACUUCAACGUUGAGACCCAACUUAAUCAUGCCUCAACAUGUUAUAUUUUCCCAGCUUUCCCUGUCCUUUUUAGUUUCACACGAACCAAACUUAAAUACCACUCUCAAACUCCAUCCAUGUCGCUGCAUAAUUGCAACCCAUCACUUCAUCAUCAACUUCUUCAUUAUAU
rnacentral:lncRNA from 1 species